rnacentral:tRNA from 2 species
GCCGGUGUGGUGGAAUUGGUAGACACGCAAUCUUGAGGGGGUUGUGCUUUAGGGCGUCCCAGUUCGACUCUGGGCAUCGGCACCA